AAGCGCAUGUGCUGUGAGCUCGAUGAGUAGGGCGGGACACGUGGUAUCCUGUCUGAAUAUGGGGGGACCAUCCUCCAAGGCUAAAUACUCCUGACUGACCGAUAGUGAACCAGUACCGUGAGGGAAAGGCGAAAAGAACCCCGGCGAGGGGAGUGAAAAAGAACCUGAAACCGUGUACGUACAAGCAGUGGGAGCACCCUUUGGGUGUGACUGCGUACCUUUUGUAUAAUGGGUCAGCGACUUAUAUUCUGUAGCAAGGUUAACCGAAUAGGGGAGCCGGAGGGAAACCGAGUCUUAACCGGGCGUUAAGUUGCAGGGUAUAGACCCGAAACCCGGUGAUCUAGCCAUGGGCAGGUUGAAGGUUGGGUAACACUAACUGGAGGACCGAACCGACUAAUGUUGAAAAAUUAGCGGAUGACCUGUGGCUGGGGGUGAAAGGCCAAUCAAACCGGGAGAUAGCUGGUUCUCCCCGAAAGCUAUUUAGGUAGCGCCUCGUGAAUUCAUCUCCGGGGGUAGAGCACUGUUUCGGCUAGGGGGCCAUCCCGGCUUACCAACCCGAUGCAAACUGCGAAUACCGGAGAAUGUUAUCACGGGAGACACACGGCGGGUGCUAACGUCCGUCGUGAAGAGGGAAACAACCCAGACCGCCAGCUAAGGUCCCAAAGUCAUGGUUAAGUGGGAAACGAUGUGGGAAGGCCCAGACAGCCAGGAUGUUGGCUUAGAAGCAGCCAUCAUUUAAAGAAAGCGUAAUAGCUCACUGGUCGAGUCGGCCUGCGCGGAAGAUGUAACGGGGCUAAACCAUGCACCGAAGCUGCGGCAGCGACACUGUGUGUUGUUGGGUAGGGGAGCGUUCUGUAAGCCUGUGAAGGUGUGUCGUGAGGCAUGCUGGAGGUAUCAGAAGUGCGAAUGCUGACAUAAGUAACGAUAAAGCGGGUGAAAAGCCCGCUCGCCGGAAGACCAAGGGUUCCUGUCCAACGUUAAUCGGGGCAGGGUGAGUCGACCCCUAAGGCGAGGCCGAAAGGCGUAGUCGAUGGGAAACGGGUUAAUAUUCCCGUACUUGGUGUUACUGCGAAGGGGGGACGGAGAAGGCUAUGUUGGCCGGGCGACGGUUGUCCCGGUUUAAGCGUGUAGGUGUGUGUUCCAGGUAAAUCCGGUUCACUUUAACACUGAGGCGUGACGACGAGGCACUACGGUGCUGAAGCAACAAAUGCCCUGCUUCCAGGAAAAGCCUCUAAGCAUCAGGUAACAUCAAAUCGUACCCCAAACCGACACAGGUGGUCAGGUAGAGAAUACCAAGGCGCUUGAGAGAACUCGGGUGAAGGAACUAGGCAAAAUGGUGCCGUAACUUCGGGAGAAGGCACGCUGACACGUAGGUGAAGUGAUUUACUCAUGGAGCUGAA
rnacentral:rRNA from 1 species